GGUGACAGUGCUCACCGUGAGCUCGUGGCUAGAGGCGGCCUGGAAGUGAGGAGACGAUUGGCCUGAGUUAGGCACAGAGACCUCAAUUUCGAGAGGAGUCUGGUGGGAAGAGAGUCCACUGAUGGUCAAGAGUAAUCGCGUGUCCGCUGUGCCCAGAAUGCUAGAGAAGGGACCUACGCACUGAGGAACAAGGUCAGCUUCUUCGUCGGCCGACGGGUCGGAAAGGGACCACCGGGAAAAGUAGUAUUUAGGACAUCCAGGCCCUUCAGCACGGAGGGCGAAGUAGGGGCCCUCUUGCUCUGGUCUGAGGCUGGUUCUGGAGUGCAGUAACAUUAUUUCAACUCCUGGAUCAAGCAAAGCCAAAAUCCAGCUCUACCUAUAGACAUUUGAGUGACGCGUGUCCUCUCUUCUGCUUGAGGCUGUUUAUGAAGGGUUCUCUAUCGAGCACAACUGAAAGAUUCCUAGCUGAUAUAAGGUUAACACUUCCUUUCAAAUAUCGGGAGCUGAAUAAUCCUCAAGGGACCCGUCAAUGCCUCUCUGUUCUUGGGGCUGUGCAAACAAGUUACUUUCCAAAAUGUCAA